UUCAACCCAGGCCAUUCUGUGAUUCAUUCUAUGAUUCAUUAUGAUUUUGGCCCUUGUCCCAGAUCUUUUCUUUCAGUGUCCACUUUCUUCUGUCAUAGAGGACAAUUGUUAACAUUUCAAGCCAAAGCUGCUCCAACCUGAAAAUACACACUCAUAGCAGAAACUGGUCUGGAAGGUGAACUAAGCAUGCCUAGUAUGUGAGGGAACAGGGCUGCCUUAGGAGCUGCUACCUACGGAUGACUGCAGGAGCAAGUAACUGAAAACAGGCUGAUGGGUUGGAACACUGAAAACGUGGUCAUAUGCCAGCUGUUUGCAGAUCUGUCAUGGCAUACUGGUAGUGGCCAGUCAUUGGGUCUGUAGUUGCAUCAGACAGGUUGUGUUUUACUCUUUUCUACUCCUGGAUUUUCAUAGUAAACAGGCUGUGGAUUAAAGGCAGCAGUCUGCUCAAGGUUUACUGCUGGAAGCCCAGACAGGAUGACAGGAUGGUCAGAUGCCUCUGUAUCAAGGUUUGGAAUAUGAUUCAAGGCCUGCGUCAGCACUGCUGCAAACUGGCAGGUUUGUGCUUGCACACCCAGAGGAAGCAGGCAGAGAGCACUAGCCCUAGAUUGACCUCUUCUACAGGAGUUUGGCAGAUACUGGGGUGCAGAAAUACCAGCAACUCAGAAUAAGUUCCUAUUUUAGAAGCUGCACUGUAGGUUCUCAAAAAUAACACUUCUACUUCCUGUUCAGUCACAACAUUACAGGCAUACAGUAAAGUUGGCAAACAAAAUGAGGAUUUAAGGGAAAUACAUCAGAGCUGUUGUAUUUUAUGACCCUAGACUUGCAUGUCUCACGUAUAUGCCACUAUCAAACCUAAAGUAAAGGCCACAUUUUGAUAACUUAAGCUUUGCAUCAUGUGUGAAAAAAAAGAGAUGUGUUAGUCUAGCAAACUUUGGGAAGUGCUGGGGGAAGGAAAGAUAUUUUCAACAAACUUCUCAAACAUUGUUCUCAAGCCAAAAACACUAAAAGAAUUCAGCUUCAUGUAGCUUGCAAUUUCAGUGCUCUGUUCUCUACACAUUCCUUCUUCUACUGGGAAGAGUCAAUCUCAGCAGACUCUUAAGUUUGUAGAUAAUUCAUUCAUUAAUUUGAAAACUGAGCUAGUCUGUACCAGAUUUAUGAAAUAAUACGAGUAUGAGUGUAUUUGUGCUUUGAACUCAGGAAUGAUCUUGUUGGCUGUCAGCCACAAAUGUUAUUGCCAGAGAAAUUUAAUUGUGUCUUGGGUUUGGUGCCUUCCUGAAAUCUCAGGUGUGCCCAGGGAUGGAAGAUUCUCACACAGCUGUUUAAAGUGAAAUUGUAGGAAAUCUUGGCAUCUGCAACAAGAUCAGCUGUGAAGCAUGCCUUCAAAAUGUCCUUGAAUUAUAUUUAUAUAAGCAUGUGCAGUAUAAGGGAAUAAAAGCAGUGAGUCAAGAAAAACAGUGAAUUGUACAAAUGAUUGUAGAUAGUUAAUUAAGUCGCCUAAAAUUUUGAUUUGAAUCCUCACACCCUAUCUUCACUGCCCAACAAGUCUAGCUGAAAUAAAUGAUGUUUGGAUCUAAAAUUCCUCCUAUUUGGUGCAGGUUGCUAGUAGUCCAGAAUUAUUCAAGGAAUCACAGAAUUGUUGAAUGGCUUGGUUUGGAAAGAACAAAAUCCCUUGCCAUGGGCAGUGUUUAAGUACCAUUGGACUUUUUUUUUUUUUUUUCCAUAUUAUUGUAGUUGCUAGAAUGGUACAAGACAGAGAUGAUAGGUACUGGAACCUGUGUAUUGUAUUACAUUGACACAGAAGGGGUUGACAUGUCUAUUAAUGUCUUUCAAACACAGAUUUUAUUGUUUAAAACAAUAUGAAUCAAUUUUUAGCUCUUUGCUUCAUGAUUUAAAAGUAUAAAACUCAAUAAAACAGUUGAAAU
rnacentral:lncRNA from 7 species